rnacentral:rRNA from 1 species
GUAAGAAUAUUCCGCAAUGGGGGGAACCCUGACGGAGCGACGCCGCGUGAACGAAGAAGGCCGGAAGGUUGUAAAGUUCUUUUCUGUUCGAGGAAUAAGUGUAGGAGGAAAUGCCUACAUGGUGACGGUAGGGCAGGAAUAAGCACCGGCUAAUUACGUGCCAGCAGCCGCGGUAACACGUAAGGUGCGAGCGUUGUUCGGAAUUAUUGGGCGUAAAGGGCAUGCAGGCGGGUCGCCAAGCUUGGUAAGAAAUACCGGGGCUCAACUCCGGAGCUAUAUUGAGAACUGGCGAGCUAGAGUUGCCGAAGGGUAUCCGGAAUUCCGCGUGAAGGGGUGAAAUCUGUAGAUAUGCGGAAGAACACCGAUGGCGAAGGCAGGAUACCGGCGGACGACUGACGCUGAGGUGCGAAGGUGCGGGGAGCAAACA